rnacentral:rRNA from 1 species
CCUACGGGAGGCAGCAGUGAGGAAUAUUGGUCAAUGGGCGUAAGGCUGAACCAGCCAAGUAGCGUGAGGGAAGACUGCCCUAUGGGUUGUAAACCUCUUUUAUGCGGGGAUAAAGGUGUCCACGUGUGGAUGUUUGUAUGUACUUUAUGAAUAAGGAUCGGCUAACUCCGUGCCAGCAGCCGCGGUAAUACGGAGGAUCCGAGCGUUAUCCGGAUUUAUUGGGUUUAAAGGGAGCGUAGAUGGGUUGUUAAGUCAGUUGUGAAAGUUUGUGGCUCAACCGUAAAAUUGCAAUUGAUACUGGCAGUCUUGAGUACAGUUGAGGUAGGCGGAAUUCGUGGUGUAGCGGUGAAAUGCUUAGAUAUCACGAAGAACUCCGAUUGCGAAGGCAGCUUACUAAACUGCCACUGACAUUGAUGCUCGAAAGUGUGGGUAUCAAACAGGAUUAGAUACCCGUGUAGUC